AGAGUUAUUGUGUUUUAUCUUAUACUUAGCAUCAGAUCAAGUUAACAAAAAAAAAUAGUGAUGUUACUAAGCUUCAGAUCAAGGUCGAUGAGAAUACCUGUCUAUUCGUCGAUGCUGGCUUUUAGACCUUUGUUUUCAUCGGUCGGUAUGUCCAUUCUCUUACUUUUAGAGGCGAGUGGAUAUAUAUAUGGUGAUAUUCAAUCGUAAAUAUAAGACUAUGUACAAUGGGGGUGUUAAAUAAAAGAUUCAACAGUUGAAUCCCUACAAUGAAAGUGUUGAAAAAUAAAAUUUGAUGAUGUGGAUUAAUUGGUGUUUAAAAGAUUCAACAUGUUGAAUAAGAAAAAAGUGGGGGACCACCGACGACACAUGUCACUUCUAAAGAUUUUUGAUAUUUUGAUAUUCUCUUAAUUAUUUAAAACUAAUUAAUUUCAUUAUAAAUUAAAUAAUUUAUUUUCAUUUCUUAUACUAAAAUUUAUCUUUUAAAAUUAUCUAUAAAUAGAGACUAGGUUUAUUUAAUUUAGAUAUAGAAAAAAAAUAAUUAUUAAUUAAUAAAAUAGAGAGUUAAAUUUUAUUCAACAAGAUCAUUGUAGUGGAUAAAAAUUGAACGUGUGUUGAAUGAUGAUGGGUAAGAAAGAGAAUAUGAUAUUGAAUGUUAAAAAAUGAAGUGGAGGGUGUUGAAUCUUGAAACCAUUGUAUAUAGUCAAAGAACUUUGUGUUUGCCAAAAACAUAUUUCUUAAAAACCAAUCAAAGUGCCACCUAAGCAAACAAUUAAAAAAAACAAUAAUAGUAUAAAUAUGUAAAUCAACUUUAUUCUCUCUACGUUAUCCUUCUUCUCUUUCUCUACCCUUUGAAUUUCCCCGAUCAAAAAAAAAAUAUGUAACCCCUUUAAUCUCUUCUUUUGGCUUCCCACGUUUAUUGUUACCCCGGAAAAAUCCAUCGUCUCGGCUUCGAUAUAGGUAUUAUAGAGUUAUUGUGUUUUAUCUUAUACUUAGCAUCAGAUCAAGUUAACAAAAAGAUAGUGAUGUUACUAAGCUUCAGAUCAAGGUCGAUGAGAAUACCUGUCUAUUCGUCGAUGCUCGCUUCUAGACCUUUGUUUUCAUCGGUCGGUAUGUCCAUUCUCUUACUUUUAGAGGCGAGUGGAUAUAUAUAUGGUGACAUUCAAUCGUAAAUAUAAGAACUUUGUGUUUGCCGAAAACAUAUUUCUUAAAUAUUUUCCCUUUUAUGUGAUAUGUCUUAUGUUUGCGAUGCGAUCUUCAUAUGAAAACGAAACGAUUAUGGUUAGAGGUUAGAUUUUUGUGUGAAUAGUAACGUUGCAGUUUUUUAAUGUUGAUUGAUUUAAUGUUCUCAGGCACUGAAUGGGUGAAAGGCAAAGCCAUGGAGGAAGUCCUGACCAUCAGAACACAUAAGUAGCCUUUGUUUGUCUCUUGCAAGUUACAAAUGUUGUUAUGAUCUGUCACAGACACUACAAUAUAUAAAAUAUUUUGUCACCAUGUUUGCAUUUCAAGGAUUUUUCGUGUAUGUUUUCAGUCGUUGCAUUACAUGAACUUGGGGUGUCUAUUUGGUUCACUCUUUCACUGUAGACAAUUCACAUGCCAGUCUUUGGUGAAGCGUCAUACUGCUGCUUUUUGACAAAUCUGUUAGAAACAACCUUAGACGACUUGGAGAGCCCAUUACUCUAUUUGGGGAGCAGGAAAUGGAGAGAAGAGAUACGUUGGCUCUGCUUAAGGCGAGGCUUGAAUGAUUGAGAUUGCAGCCAAUUGGAUAAUAUGUUUGAGGCUCAAGAAGAAGAUGCGGCUGCAAAAGAGAAGGUGUGCUGAUUUUAAUUUCUUCCUAUUUUUUUUUGUUUUAUCUCAUAAUACUUAGUUUGUUGUAUUAAGCUGAUGUGAUUACAAGCGCUAGCCUCAGGAAUUCCGUACCAACGUUUUUCGACAGUGAACGGAGAUAUGAGAAGGAAGCAAGCAGGUUAUUCUAAAGUGAUUGAAUACUUUUGAUUUUUAUCUUUCUGAAGAAAAAUAGCAUGCGAUAAUGGAGGAACCAGAGAUUGCGGCUGAUGGACUCAAAGUCAACGUCAAGACACUCUGCUGAGUCUGCUCUGCGACUCGCAAUUGGAACUCCAGUCCGGUUCUCUAAUGAUGUUGUUAAUAAAACAUGUCAAAAUAAAGUGUAUAGUUCACAUGCAUAAGCACCAUGGUUCAUUCUAAACAUAGAGUAUCUGAAGGUUCCAGAAGUGCUUCUCACCUACCUACCUCGGUCUUAGGUUCGGUAUUAUCAUUUUUGCAUACAAUGUUCACUGUUGUAAAGCUGGCAUUGAUCACCAUAUUGUAGUGUCUGUGACAGAUCAUAACACGUUAUUGUAAAUUUGGGCCAUGUGCUCCAUCUUCAAGAUUUUGUUUCCAAAUGGUAAAUUCUCAGGUACAAAAGCCUUGGUCUGGUGUCUGAAAAAGACACAGUGAAGAUGAAUAAGAGAGGCGAGACAAUGUGUAGCAAUAAUGACCGUAGCAUUACUUUUUUUUCGAAUGAAUGUAAAAUUUAUUCAAACGGAAAAACGUUUUUACAUCAAGUGCUUCAUGUAUUCUAAAUUGUAUAGCAUUAACUUCUAUGUACUCUGACUAUGUCCCAUAUUAGUUUCAGUGCUUCAACCACAUAUUCUCAAAUGUUGAUGUAUCACUAUUCCAUGUACUCUGACUUAACAUGUGUUUGUCAUAAUGACAGCCGGGUUAACUUCUAAUUUCUGAUUCACAUCUCAGUGUGUCUACAUUUUUAAAGAAACAUGGAGGAGAACGAAACAUGGUAUAAAAUCCAAACACUUUUUUUUGUUUUUUCUAUUUUCGUUUUUGUACAAACUGCGACUGCGAGUAAACCUCACGUGCAGACAAACUAUGAAUACAUUAUACAUUGAAACAAACUAAAAAGAAAAGAAGAGAGAGAGAGUCCAGAACCAAGAAAACCAUUGUCUAUGAAGAGGCUGGUUUGCUUCAUUCGCUGCAUUUCAAUUUCCAGCUGACUAGGAAAGAAUAAAAAAAAGAAGUUCAGUGUACACAAAGUAAGAGAUUGGCAACUAGAUAAAACUGAGAACCUUUGGCGAACAUAAAUAAUAGACAAAGAAACACAAAAAUAUGAAACAGCUAAAACAUAGAUAACUCUACUAGCAAGGUCAUCGGAUAUAGAACAGAAAAACCCCAAAAAAGUUAACCACACACACAACCGAAUAUAAUAAUCUGCUAAAUUCAUCUUCACUAUAUUUCCAAUAGUUCACAACUAGACUAAAUGUAUGUCUGCAAAAUUAGCAAUUUAUUUAUAGUUGCCACUACUCUUCCGCUGUUAAGAGUGAAAAGGGUGCAUUCUAAAUAUCCAAAAAAUAUCUUUUCAAAAAAUAAAAACAUCAAAAAACUUUCAAUCGACCUAUCAAAAUUACAAUUAUCGCAUGCAUCAACCAUUUGUGGACAAUAACAAAUCACAGAAAGUAAAAGAAUUUAAGACUUAUGAAGGAUGUAAAACGUAUGAAGUCUCCAAAUUUAUGUUAACAUUCAAAUAACAAAAAGUACAAGCUAACGCUGCAUCCAUUAUCAUUCAGAUCAUACAGUAUACCAUGAUAUAUACAAUAAAAGAAAAUGCAAUAUAAUAUGACAAAAUCCUAGGUCCAAAUAAAUGUCCUUUUUCAAAAAUAAAAAUAAAGAAAAGAAAAUGCAAUAUACUUUAUUAUGUUUGGGUUCAAACUUACAAUCAACUGAUGCGUUUACCCACUUACAACACAUUUCGUAAACCAUAAACUUUAUUAGCAGCUUCGAACGAACAAAUUGAAUCUAAUCUAACUAUUUAUUAAUAGAUAAUUACUUUAAACAUUCUAUUUUUUAACGUGAGUGCAAAAAAUUAUUUCAAAAAUAAUAGUAUAAAUAUUUUAGAAUUAUUCGCCAUUUUAUUUUCAAAAAUUAUCACAAUAAAUAAUUUUGAUAGUCCUAAGAAUUUUAUCAUAAACGAUUGAUGAUUUAAUAUAUAUAUAUAUAUAUAUAUAUAUAUAUUAAAUAGAACCAGUUUAAUAAUACUAAACCAAAUAUAAUAUAAACAUAUAUAUAUAUAUAUAUAUAUAUAUUAAAAUAGAACCAGUUUAAUAAU